rnacentral:rRNA from 1 species
UACGAAGGUCCCAAGCGUUGUUCGGAAUCACUGGGCGUAAAGGGAGCGUAGGCGGCGUGGUAAGUCAGAUGUGAAAUCCCCGGGGCUCAACCCCGGAACUGCAUCCGAUACUGCCAUGCUAGAGGAUUGGAGAGGUAGCUGGAAUUCUCGGUGUAGCAGUGAAAUGCGUAGAGAUCGAGAGGAACACUCGUGGCGAAAGCGAGCUACUGGACAAUUCCUGACGCUGAGGCUCGAAGGCUAGGGUAGCGAAAGGG